rnacentral:lncRNA from 1 species
UUCUGGGUCACAGCUGUCAACUCAUCCUGUAAAGUCUUAAUUUCAGCAUCCAGUGCCUUCACUUUCCCAUCUAGGCCGUCAACUUUUCCCCAAAGUACUUGUUGUUCCUUCCUUACACCAUCCAAGUCAACGCCUAUAAGCUACAAUAAUCGAAAUAAAGUAAAUUACUGUUACAUACAUGAAAAUAACACCCAUACAGGCACAGAAAGUAAAGUUGGUGAAACUACAAACUUCCAACACAUGAUAUUUCAGAAACAGUUCUCUUACUUUGACCUG